CUGUCCUUCUCCCCUCUCCUUUCCUCUCUCCUUCAUUUCCUUUGUCUCCCCGCCUUUCCCCUUGGGACCACAGCGCCACGCACCGCUGGUCCCACUGGCUGCAGCUCAUCUCUGCCUAGGUGUCACCUGCAGCCUCUUACUCUGGGCCCCAGGCUCAUCGUCCUCGGGUGCACCGCCCAGUCCAGCCCCUGUCGAGCCCUGGGCUACACCCCCCAGAAAUGCCUGCUGCUGUUUGGUGCUGUCCCCCUCCUGAGCGCCCUCAGCCGGGGAAGUGACAUUCUGGCGUGUCUUCCCGUUCCCUCCAGGCUCCGUGUGGUCCUGGGCCCCCUCUCAGAUGUGCGGCCCCGAUGUUUAGAAUCACUGCCUCCCAAUAAAGCGUCUGCUGGGAGGCCAGGAAGCAAGGGGCCCGCGUGUGCGAAGGGCCCACGUCUGUGCAGACGGGGCCGGGAAGAGAGGAAAUGGGAGCUCGCCCUCCGCAGGCACAGACGGCAGGAAAUUGGUGUGCCAUGGAGCUGCAUGGGAAAGCCGCGAGUGCAGCGAGGCGCCCCGCCCCGUGGGCUUGACCCUGAGCCGCUCCUCAACGUCUCAGGGGAGAGACGGCUGUGCCCACCCCCUGGGACAGGGCUUCAGCGUCUGGUUCUUUCCUCCCACCCCAAGUGGAGACAGGACUGUGGGAGGAGAAAAACAACAGAGGAGAAAGGCACUGCCCCUCUAAAGAGAGCGGACAGGGAGCGGGGAGGUGGCCCCACCUGUGGGGUCUGUUCCCUCCCCAGCACUGGCCAAGGCUAGACUUCGGGGUCUGGGUCCCAGGCCCCCUGCUUGUGCAGAAGGGGCUUCCUGAGGUUGGAAGACCCACAUGUCCACACAGCCAGGAGGCGGAAACUCCAGGGUGGCCCUGGGGGAUCGGAGAGCACAGCACCCCCAGCGGGGCAGCCACCACGCAGGGGGCCACCUGAGGCCGUGUGAGACACACACCCGCCACUGCCAGGGCUUCCAAUUCUGCGAGAAAUCUCCUGAGUCUUUUAAUGUCGUCGAUCACCUCUUAUUGAAGACCCGUUGCUUGGCAGUCCAGCGGUGCCUGAGGGCUGGCUCUCAGGUGGCCGGUGGAGGCAUGGGACUUAAAUCAUUGAGGAUCAAGCGGGGACAGAUGGAUGCAUGACUGAUGGGAAGAGGAAGGGUCUGUCUGUGGAGUACAUGGGAGUGUGUCAUUUUCAUAGAAUACAGAAAGAAGUAUCAUGCCGUGUCAGCAGGGGAGGGUUGGUAGUGAGGGGCACCUGAAUGGGGUGGCAGUGGGGCGACAGGACCUUUGAAGCGUAGAAGUCACCCACGUGGCAUGUCCAGCCACGGAGGUAGGCCACCCUGGGUUUGCAUCCUGUUCCCUGCUUUCAAGCUGUGUGACUUCAGGUAACUGACAUAACCUCUCUGAUCCUUAGCGGUAGCAUCAGGAAACAAGGGAUGAUAACCAUAUAUCCCUCCCAGUUGUUUGUGGUGUUUGAGAUGUUGAGGAUUAGAUAGAUGGUGCAGGGGAAGCUGUGCCUUGCACAGAGUGAGGACUUGGUGUCCAUUUGCCACAUCCCAGUACCUGAGGCAAAACACGUACGUGAAGAGUACCCUGUCCCCAAAAAUCAGCGGUGAGAGGAAGAAGACUGGGUCGGGGCAGAGGAUACUGUGUAGUGGAGAGGGAAGGGGAAGGAGGAGGACAGUGCCCUUUUGGAGUACAGGGGGUAUAUAAUAAGUAUAAAUAGUAAGUAUCCGUAGUAGUAUCAUUUUAAUUGCUACUGUUACUCUCUGAUGUGAAUGUCAGCGUGCAGAGGGCCUUGCAGGAUCACCUGGCCUAUUUUUAUCUGAGAGGAGACUGGCACAGAGAGAGGGAGCAAUCUUCCAGCAUCCCUCAUCAUACCAGCAGUAGGACCGGCCUGAUGCGGUACUUACCACUAAUAUUCUUCCUGUUACUCCCAGUAGCACUGUUACUCCCAUGCCAGCUACUAUUACUGCUAUCUCUAUUACUCACACUAGCCUAUUGCUUCUAAUACUACCAUUAUUUUCCUAGUACGAUGAAUCAAUUAAGGAGUGAAGUUUUAUUGAAGUUCUUACCAUGUUCCAGGUGCUGGGCAAAAAUACUGCAGAGACUUCCUCUCCUUUCAUCUUUAUAAAGACAUUAAGAAGAAACGGAGACUCAGAGAGGUUAAUUACUUGCUCAAGGCCACACAGUUAGCAAGUGGCAGGGCUAGAAUUAGACCCAGGCAGUCCCGCUCCUGCACACCUGGGUACCAGGUCAGACCGCCUCCCAAAAGAAGGAAGGAGGCUUGACAACCCCGAGCCUGGAUGAAUGGAGGCCUGGAUGCAUCCCAGGAGUAGGGCUGCCUUGUGAAUUAGCCCAAUGGGCAGCUACCUUUGGGGAGGGAUCUAAUAAUCUCUCUCCUGCCUUGUUUCACAAGACCUGAAAUUCCACUCUUCACAUGAUUUUCUUUGGAUUGAAUUUCACGUGCCUCUGUCUGUUAGCCUCGUUCAUUCAGUCUGCCAUUUGAUAAUAGCAUGGUGAGGGGUGGUGAGGCCAGGUCCCAGGCUCAGAAUCCUGGCUUCCAGUUCUGGCUGCUUGUAGCCUGGGUGACUGUGGGCCGGUCCCUUCAUCUCCCAGUGGUGGGAUGUCAAAUCUGAAGCUCCCAGCUCAGGGCCUCAUAGAGUGGCCCCUCUGUCCUUCCCCUGCAACUCUGCGAGACCCCUGUCAUAGCCCCAGGUGUAAUAGUCCUUGCAGAUGAGACCCCCACCCCCAAGGCCCAGUCCAGUGAUAGCAGGAAACCAGCAGAUUGCAUCUAGAAAAAACAGAGAAUUUAGAGAUUACUCAUCCACUCAUUCAGCAAACAUGAAUUGAGUACCACAGCGUCCCAGGCCUAUGCUGGAUGCCUGGACAGUGUGAGUGAGGUAGAUGUGGUCCUUACCCUCCAGGAGCUCAGGGCUCCAUGGGGAGGACAGACUUCGAAUGAAUGCCCUCCGACGAUGAUGUAAUCGUUGUGACAGGCCCUACAAAAGACACGUGGAGGGGGCGGUGAGUCUGGGAGCUUAGAGAAAGCUUUCUCAAGGAAAUGACCCUUGCAGCAAGGCUCCAAGGAGAAAAUCUGCCCAAAGAUGAGGACAGAGAAAGACAUUCCAGGCAGAGGAAACAGCACGUUCAGAGGCCCCAGGUGCAGAAGGAAUGUGGGUUCAAAUUUUCUCUCUACUUCUUCUGACUCGGUAGCUCUGUGCAAAAUGCUUCUCUCUGAGCCUCAGUUUCCUCACCUGUAGAAUGGGAACAGUUGCCACCUGCUCCCCAGGGUUCCAAGCAACUGAGAGGUUAAGGGGUGUGAAGGUGGUGGUGCUGGCACUGCCCCCCUGAAUGCCUAGGGAAUCUGGAGGCUGCCUCUUGGCUCCUAGCUUCCAAGCACCCCCGACACUUGAGGCUUCUGUCGGUCCUGGUUGUUCCUCAGCACAAUUAGGUAAUUAGGCCAAAUUCAAUUACACACCACACUCCCAGGUCUGUCUGGGGCCCGACGGGGGCGUGGGCUCCCUUUGCUGGCGGGGGGGCAGUAGCAGUGCUGCUCUCAGAGUUGUGUCUUCCUACCAUGCAUCCCAGAAUACUGCGUGCAUCCCAGAUGGGGAAACUGAGGCAGGGAAGAGGCAGUGUGCUUAGCCCCAAACCUCAGGGCUGAGAUCCCCAGGGCUGAUUUUUUCCCUCCUUGACAGCCCCAACCCAAACUGUGAGCCCAUGGCUUGUCCCACCUUUCAGAUUCAUCACAGGGGUCCUGGCUCCUCUCCCCCUGGACAAGACCCCCCCCGCCCCCCCACCGAGGGUGGGAUUCAGCUUCCCUGCCACCCUUGGAUUUGUGGCAGUUUCUCCUCCCAGCUGCAGACUGGUACCCAGCCACUAUUCAACACUUUGAAUGGUGUGUGAAUUUGAGGGGAGAGCACACCUUGACUUCCGGGCUAAGGGGUGUGCUGUUCCCACCUGCCAGGCUCAGCUCUGAGGAUCCUGAUUUCAACAUCAGGCCUCCUACUCCUCGCCCUGCCCUGGCGGCCACUUUGGAUUUUCCCCAGACAUUCCUUCGUGGCCUGUCUGCUCACGUCCAGAGCCCCCCGGGGGUGGGGGACACCUGGGACCACACUGCAGGUGUGAGGGGAGUCACCAGACCCCCUGGGCUGCCAUGGGCUGUGAGUACAGGGCUAGAAGGGAGCAGGCGCCUGGGGGAGUGUCCUCUCACACGGGACUGCAGGAGAGGAGGUGACACAGGAUUCCUGGCGAGCUUUAAUGGGCUUAGGAAGUUCAUAGAACGGCUGUACUGCUGCCCAGGAUGCGCUGAGGUGCUUGGGCCUGCUUCUCGAGCACCCUUCCUCUCCUCUCACCUAUCACAGCACCCCAAAACAGAAAGGGCCCCAGAAACCAUAAGCCCACCAGUGUGGGAUCCCCUUUACAACUCCCCAUCCUCAGCUUACACACCUCAGGUGACAAGGUACUCAUUACCACCCUGGGCGGCCCUGACUGUCAGAAGGUCCUUCCUUCUUUUGAGCCCAAACCCGUCUUUUUUUCAACACUGCCAUCCUUCCUUCUGAUGCAUGUGACUCCCACUGUGGAUGAGAAAAGGACUGAAGGGUCCAGGGUCUGGCCCCCGACCUCCCUGUGAGGAGGGGGAAGAACAGAGUGGGGCAGACCCUCCCCAUGUGAACCCCAGCUCAUAGAAAGAGACAGUGGAUGGACAAGAGCCCUUUAGAAUAGUGGAGCCCUGGACAGCCUGGAAUGUCAGGUGGAUGGUUAAAUCGCACAGAGGCUAAACAGGAAAAAGAAACACAAAGAAAGAAGACAUUUCCAUAUAUGUAAUGUGGUGUGCUGGAAAGAAUAUAAAACAUGACUCUCAUCA